ensembl:lncRNA
AUGCCCAGUGACGUUUUAUCUCUGUUGGACUGUUUUAACCUUUCACAAUUUUUUUUAUUUUUUUUUUUUUUUAUGUUCCUACACAUUGUAAAGGUCAUACAUUGUAUGGUACUUGGAGGUACCAUAUCUUUCAAGGUCUGUUCCACCUGUUCAAGGCCUAAUCCUAGGCAGUUCUUUCAUAUCAUUAACAGUCUAUUGAAGGAAGACAGUGGUAAUACGCUAACUGCAUCAGGCAUAUUUGUCACGAAUCCUGUCCAUGGACUUCCGUUCGAUCAACACCAGAGAUCACCCUUCCAUUAAAUUGACACUCACACUACACAAACUGUUGCAUGUCAUCCCGGACUCCCUGUUUAUAAGCACGUCUUCAAUAAAAGCUUUGCACAUGGAUCCGCAUGUCUCACAUCUUAUUUGCCCCGUAACAAUAUUGUACACAUUAGGCCUAUGUUGCCCUUUACUGUUGCCGAAAUAUUGAUUAACUUUUGUUUUUUGUUGAUUACUGCAAUACUCCCAUUGUUGUAGUGUCCAAAUCCUUUCUUAACAAAUUGCAAUGCCUUCAUAAUUCAGCAGCUAGAAUUCUAACUGGUUUUAGGGUUGGUGAUUAUAUAACCCCUAUCUUGGAGAUGUUACAUUGGCUCACUAUUAGGUAUCAUAUAGAUCUUAAAAUCCUUAUACUAACAUACAAGGCUCUGCAUGAUCUCGCUCUGCAGCAUCUGGUGAAUCUUUUAACACCUUACCCCCCAACUUGCAAUUCACGAUCUUCUCAGUGUGGCUUCUUAGCUGUUCUCAAAACAUGGCUUCACUCUGGGGUAACGGGCCUUUUCAUUUAAUACUCCAAAACUGUGGAGUUCUCUCCCAGCUGACAAUAGGGAUCUAAAUUCUUUAGAUUUUUUUUUUUUUUUUAAACUUCUCCUAAAACUUUUAUUUAUUUAUUUUUCAGGAUUGCUUUUAUUUGAUUAGUUUUCUAUUGUGGUGUUCUUUGCUAUUUAUCUUUUGUUAUAUAAUAUACACAUACAGUGUAUUGUCUUGUAUUGUUGUUUUUGCCUUUGUGUAAAGUUUUUAUGUAAAGUGCUUGAGAAAGCAACUUUUAAAGGCGCUAUAUAAAAUAAAUGUAUUUUAUUUUGUAUUAUUAUUAUUAUUAUUAUUAUUCAUUUCUGACCUUGUUGCUCACAUGGGUAUGUUAAACUCCAGCCUGGAAUUAAAUUCAAUCACAUUGCCCCUCUCUCCCCAAUACUUUCCUGUCUUCAUCCAACAAAAAGUCUCAAAAUGAAAAGAAGCUGCAGGGAAAUUGCCUUCUUUAAAUAAUUAUUGCAGUGCAUUCACAAUCAUGUUACAUCAACACAUGGAUUUUGUUACUGAAUAUAAUUUACACUAGAAAACACAGAUAAGCAAUUUAGAGGCUUUGUCUGUGUUGUCUUAGCUGCAGGGUGUUCACUGAUCAGACUUCAUUAGUAUUGAUCAGGCUGAUUUGCUGAGCUCAGCGGUUUGCCUAUGCUUAUGAGAAAACACACACAAAUGCCAGGCCGAAGAGAGAAGGGCCUCAGUGAGGCAACAUCAAAUUCAGUCUUCCAAGACAUUCAGUGUGUGGGAGCAUGUUUUCAUUGAUCAGAUUGUUUUGUUGUCUUUUUAACCUUCAUAUCAAAUUUUAAAAACCCAAUUAAAAAUUAAAAAAAAAAAAAUUUCCAUAUAUUUUAUAUAACACUUUAGUAUAGGGACCAAUGUUCACUAUUAACUUGUUGCUUAUUUGAAUGCCUAGUAUUAACAUUGGCUCCAUGUUUAUUAGUACUUAUAAAGCAUGUAUUCUACAUAUGUGUAUAUAAUAUACACACACGCACAGAAGUUCUUUCUGGUCCUCAAAUCUGAUUUGCUGAGAAGUGUGAUAUUCAAGUAAUAUUGGAAUUCCAACGUUUCACCUUUUUAUUUUUUUAUUUAUUUAUUUAUUUAUUUUUUGGUGGACACCCAAAUCCAAUAUAAUUAUAUUUCUAUCAUGAGAACUCUCGGAAGAUUUUAGCAUGGUAGUGGAUAUGACAAUGUUAAUGCAUUUGGUCUUGGCAGAAUAGAUCUGCUAUGCUGCUGCUGCUGUUGGUUAUUGCUGUAUUUGUAGAUUAUUGCCACUGCAAGCAAGUACAGGAACUUGCUACUGCCCAUACAUAAGCAGAUAUGGUCCUGUGAAUAUUUAAGACAUGCUGCCGCACAAAUAGCAUAUAAAAUAACCUGUUGCAGAUCUAUACAUUUGGAGCUGGGGAAGGUCGAGGGUUUCACAGGAACUCUGAAAGCGCACUGCAAAGCUCAGGCAAAUGCUAAUCAGCCAUUUAAAUGUAAAGCAGCAAACUCAUUGGCUGCAUAUGCAGUAUGAACCAAUCAGCUUGUGACAAGUCGUUUAGCACUAAGAAUAUCAUCAAUUACAUUAAGGACCCAUUAGCCUGUGCCAUCCAGAGUUUCAUGACAGAACUUGGUAUAGAUAAUUAAGUUUUUGUGUCAUGGAUUUUUAUUUUUUAUUUAUUUUUUUAGGUGAGAAUGUAUUGUUUAGACUUCAUAUGCGGUUUGUUAAUAAAGAUCAUGUCUAUUUGACAAUUUGCUUCAUUUUUUCGGAGAUGUGAGCUAUAAAGGGCAAAUUCUUUUUUUGUGCCCUCAAAGGCCACAUCAGGAAGGGGACGCCAUUUGUAGGGAUGUUCCAAAUGAAAGUGAACAACUGAAUCCCUUCACAAAGGGCCCUUCCAGAAGUACGUUAGCGAGUUUAGUUUGCUAUAGUUUAAUAGUAAAUAAGAAACAAUUAGACAAUAUUUGAAUAAAAUAAGAAAUAUUUAUUUGCAACAACUAAUGAAGUGCUGAAUGCUGCAUUUUCUAUGUGUAAAAACACCAAAGGAAGCAGGUCGUGAAGAUGACAAGAAAGCACAGAAUAGUAAAUCUAUUAAUAAUGACAUUGAUUAAACCCACCGCCUAUCACUCAAUAAAAAGAAUCACAUCCCUGCAUUUUUUUGUACAUUUUGAUUUUGUUUGGUUUAAUAAUUAAUACCUUAACUCUAGCGAGAACUCUGUUGUCUUGUGAAUUAGCAGAACUUGAACAGAGACAUUAUACAAUGC